GCCCAGACUCCUACGGGAGGCAGCAGUGAGGAAUAUUGGUCAAUGGGCGGGAGCCUGAACCAGCCAUGCCGCGUGAAGGCGAGUGCCCUACGGGCGUUAAACUUCUUUUGUGCGGGAGCAAUAAGGGCCACGUGUGGCCCGAUGAGAGUACCGCACGAAUAAGCAUCGGCUAACUCCGUGCCAGCAGCCGCGGUAAUACGGGGGAUGCGAGCGUUAUCCGGAUUUAUUGGGUUUAAAGGGUGCGUAGGCGGCGCUUCAGGUCAGCGGUGAAAUACCGGGGCUCAACCCCGGGGCUGCCGUUGAAACUGGGGGCCUUGAGUGGGCGAGAAGAAGGCGGAAUGCGUGGUGUAGCGGUGAAAUGCAUAGAUAUCAGGAGGAACACCGGUGGCGAAGGCGGCCUGCUGGACUGCAACUGACGUUGAGGCCCGAAAGCGUGGGGAGCAAACAGGAUUAGAUACCCUCGUACA
rnacentral:rRNA from 1 species